UGAGUGGGAAAGAGGGUUAUCGGAUCUCAUCGCCGACCUCUCGUCCACGAAUUCUGAUAUCCACCUCUCUUCGCAUUGAUCUCCUCGCCACGCGAGCUCUGGAAGCUCCGAGAAGUCCCUGAUCAGAGAGCCAACUGAGAGAUUGAGCUGUUUGGUUUUGUCCGUGAUUUUCUUCGAAACUUGAAUCAGAAUUUUCAGUUUGCUGGAAAGUUUUGAUUGUCCACGAAAAUCUUGGUUUUCAGCGCCAAAUGCUGAUGAAGGACGUCAAUUAAAAGAAAAUGAAAAAAUGGAUGCACAUGAUUUGAUGCUGGCGUUUUCUUAAGGCAUGACUCCAAUGCAACACAGCAGAACUCUGCUGGCGUGGUUUUGUUUGUAUUACGGCUGUCUUGUAUAGCUGUAUAGAUUUGGUGUCUGGAUAGAUUUUACUCAUUUGGUGUCUGUAUUGGGUUUUGUUGGCAGCUGGGGUUUAAGCAUAUUUUCUUCUGGGGUUCAAUUGCAGAGAUAUGUACUCUAAGUUUACUCUGAAGGAAGUUUGCUGAAGUCUGCAAGGCCUCUCUAGUGGCUAUUAUGCUCAGUUGCUGAUUACACAUUUAUGUGUGAUGGGUACUUAAUAAUUCAAAGUACUUUUGUCAUGUUUUGAAUCAAAUAAUUACCCGAGUACCUCUCCAUAGACAUGUAUCUCGUUGAAUUCUAAUUAUUUUUCCCUACUUAUUGCUUUAUUUUAGUGCUGCUUAAUUAGUGCUUGUGCUUGAAAAGCAUG